UACGAAGGGGGCUAGCGUUGUUCAGAAUUACUGGGCGUAAAGCGCGCGCAGGCGGCUAUCCAAGUCAGUGGUGAAAGCCCGGAGCUCAACUCCGGAACUGCCAUUGAAACUGUUUAGCUUGAGGACGAGAGAGGUGAGUGGAAUUCCCAGUGUAGAGGUGAAAUUCGUAGAUAUUGGGAAGAACACCGGUGGCGAAGGCGGCUCACUGGCUCGUUUCUGACGCUCAGGCGCGAUAGCGUGGGGAUCAAACAGG
rnacentral:rRNA from 1 species